AACAUUAGUUUCACCUCGCCAAAAGAAUGUUGUUGAGACAAGGGAGGAAGAUAUAUUGGGCUUGUUAUCUGAUCAUGAGUCAGAGGGAAUUGAUGAAAGUGAAAGAUCAAGUGAAGAAGACGAUGAAGGAGAAGGCAACGUUAACAGAGUAAGAUAUAAUCCGGUAGAGAUGUGCAAAGAGUUUAAAUUUGUGUUAGGUAUGGAGUUUACUUCCAUUGGUCAGUUUAAAGAUGUAGUUAGAGAGUAUGCCUUACUCCAUGGAUAUGAAAUCAAAUUUGUGAAGAAUGAUAAGGUGAGGUGUAGGGUCAAAUGUGCACAUGUUGAAUGCAAGUGGUUAAUGUUUGUGAGCCAA